GGUCAGCAAGACUGAGAGAGCUGGGCAGUCUGCACUAUGCCCUAGAUCAGGGUCGAAUCAGUGCUGGAUGUUGAGGAUCUGACGUCUGGAUGAAGAGGGGGAAAGAAAAGUAAAAGUGCCUUUUUUUUCUCUUAUUAACUGAAUUGGCGGCGGGGUAGCAAUCAGAAAGUGAACAUGAGCAUAAAGCAGAAAGAGACAAACAAGGGGUCACGACUGCAGGGGAUUUGUUUCCUUGGGCGCGAAGAACAUUGAGAGCACUUCUGGGAUGGAGGGUAGGAACAGACACCUAUAAUCUCAGGACUCAUAGCCUGAGACCCAAGUUUUCCAAGUUGAAGGACAGCCUGUGCUACAUAGGAAGUUGUAGCCUGGGCUACAAAGACUGCUUCUGCCCUCUACUUGGAAU
rnacentral:sRNA from 1 species